UACGAAGGGGGCUAGCGUUGCUCGGAAUCACUGGGCGUAAAGCGCACGUAGGCGGCUUUUUAAGUCAGGGGUGAAAUCCUGGAGCUCAACUCCAGAACUGCCUUUGAUACUGGGAGCUCGAGUCCGGGAGAGGUGAGUGGAACUCCGAGUGUAGAGGUGAAAUUCGUAGAUAUUCGGAAGAACACCAGUGGCGAAGGCGGCUCACUGGCCCGGUACUGACGCUGAGGUGCGAAAGCGUGGGGAGCAAACAGGGAU
rnacentral:rRNA from 1 species